CUGAGCUCUCCCUCCUGUCCCCUUCAACAGGCGGAGACAUUCACCUGCGUGUGCUACAGCUUCUCCAUGGUUGCAGGGCAGGUGCCGCGCCCGUGGACAGGGAUUGUGAUUGGGGUAGUUGUGCUGUUGGUGCUGGUCCUCCUGUUUGCAGGCAUUGUGUGGUUUGUGCAGUCCAGGAGAAGGAAGGCUGUGUCCAUCAAAGCUCAG